rnacentral:rRNA from 1 species
AUUGAACGCUGGCGGCAUGCCUUACACAUGCAAGUCGAACGGCAGCACGGGAGCAAUCCUGGUGGCGAGUGGCGAACGGGUGAGUAAUAUAUCGGAACGUGCCCAGUCGUGGGGGAUAACGUAGCGAAAGCUACGCUAAUACCGCAUACGAUCUACGGAUGAAAGCGGGGGAUCGCAAGACCUCGCGCGAUUGGAGCGGCCGAUAUCAGAUUAGGUAGUUGGUGAGGUAAAGGCUCACCAAGCCAACGAUCUGUAGCUGGUCUGAGAGGACGACCAGCCACACUGGAACUGAGACACGGUCCAGACUCCUACGGGAGGCAGCAGUGGGGAAUUUUGGACAAUGGACGCAAGCCUGAUCCAGCCAUUCCGCGUGCAGGAUGAAGGCCCUCGGGUUGUAAACUGCUUUUGUACGGUACGAAACGGUGAGCUCUAAUACAGUUUGCUAAUGACGGUACCGUAAGAAUAAGCACGGCU